CGUAGGCACCUGCCCGUAAGCCCGGGWCAACAUGGGGGAAACUCUGCCAAUACCGGAUAGGGUNUUCUAUCGCAUGAGAGGAGACGGAAAGGUGGCGCAAGCUACCACUUNACGGACGGGCCUNGCGGCGCAUUAGCUAGUUGGGGGGGUAACGGCCUACCAAGGCGACGAUGCGUAGCCGACCUGAGAGGGUGACCGGCCACACUGGGACUGASACACGGCCCAGACUUCCUACGGGAGGCAGCAGUAGGGAAUUUUNCCACAAUGGACGAAAGUCUNGAUGGAGCAACGCCGCGUGAACGAUGAAGGUCUUCGGAUUGUAAAGUUCUGUUGUCAGAGACGAACAAGUACCGUUCGAACAGGGCGGUACCUUGACGGUCACCUGACGAGAAAGCCACNGCUAACUACGUGCCAGCAGCCGCNGUAAUACGUAUGUGGCAAGCGUUGUCCCGGAUUAUUGGGCGUAAAGCGCGCGCANGCGGCUAUGUA
rnacentral:rRNA from 1 species